UUUUGGCACCACAAAGGAAAUUCCUACCAAAGAGUGGAGCCAACAUAAAGAAUGGAGAGCUAAGUGUUAAAGAGAGAUCAAGUCCUGGUGACAUUAUGUGAGCUCCAAGAUCUUGAGAAAGAGGGGCCAGCUGGGGGCAGUCCAUGCUGUAACAUGAGGACCAGUGGAAGAAAUCCUCCUCCUUCCUUUAGAAGCUCUGAUGCUGGGAAGACAUGAGAGUUCUUCUUUGGAAAUGUUUAAAGUCAUCAGCCAAGGUUGGAG